rnacentral:rRNA from 1 species
CGAAUUCGCCCUUAGAGUUUGAUCAUGGCUCAGAUUGAACGCUGGCGGCAGGCCUAAGACAUGCAAGUCGAACGGUAACGACACUAGCUUGCUAGUGGGCGACGAGUGGCGGACGGGUGAGUAACGCGUAGGAAUCUACCUAGUAGUGGGGGAUAGCCAAGGGAAACUUUGGGUAAUACCGCAUACGAUCUACGGAUGAAAGGGGGCCUCUCUUUGAAGCUCUCGCUAUUAGAUGAGCCUGCGUAAGAUUAGCUUGUUGGUGGGGUAAUGGCUCACCAAGGCGACGAUCUUUAGCUGGUCUGAGAGGAUGAUCAGUCACACUGGAACUGAGACACGGUCCAGACUCCUACGGGAGGCAGCAGUCGGGAAUAUUGGACAAUGGGGGAAACCCUGAUCCAGCCAUGCCGCGUGUGUGAAGAAGGCUCUAGGGUUGUAAAGCACUUUUAGUAGUGAGGAAGGCUCAGUAGUUAAUACCUACUGGGAUUGACGUUAGCUACAGAAAAAGCACCGGCUAAUUUCGUGCCAGCAGCCGCGGUAAUACGAAAGGUGCAAGCGUUAAUCGGAAUUACUGGGCGUAAAGCGCGCGUAGGCGGCUUGAUAAGUUGGAUGUGAAAGCCCCGGGCUCAACCUGGGGAACU